UUCCCACAGCCCUUGGAGGUGCCACCAGCCCAGCUCCGUCACCGGCUCGGUCCCAGGAACAUCGCAGAUGGGAAUCGUGGUCCAGAGAGAAAGGCUGAAAGGGAAACCUGGACACGGUGCAAACUGUGAAACCUGCCUGGGGCUUUGUGCUUCUUAAAGCUGGGGCUGCUUUGUGAUUAACACUGACUGAUCUUGAGCAUUUCUCGAUGCCUCAGCCGGGUGCUAUCCUGUUGGGGUCAGGCAGUGUUGGGGCAUGGUUCCACCUGCACUGAUUCCAUAGGCGACCGUGUGCCAGCCUUUGAGACGAUUCACUUCCUGCUGCAC